GUAUCCGGUGUACCCCCAGAGGGUUCGAUUAUGGCUCAGAUUGAACGCUGGCGGGAUGCUUUACACAUACAAGUCAGACGGCCAGCACCCGGACUUCGGUCUGGUGGCGAGUGGCGAACGGGUGAGUAAUGUAUCGGAACGUGCCUAGUAGCGGGGGAUAACUACGCGAAAGCGUAGCUAAUACAUACGCCCUUCGAGGAAAGCGGGGACACCUUCGGGCCUCGCACUUAUUCGGCGAAGCCGAUAUCGGAUUAGCUAGUUGGUGGGAGUAACGGCUCACCAGGCGGCGAUCCGUAGCUGGUUUUGAGAGGACGACCAGCCACACUGGGACUGAGACACGGCCCAGACUCCUACAGGAGAGCAGCAAUUGAGAAUUUUGGACAAUGGGGGAAACCCCUGAUCCAGCCAUCCCGCGUGUGCGAUGAAGGCCUUCGGGUUGUAAAGCACUUUUGGCAGGAAAAACGGCACCGGGAUAAUGCCCGAUGCAACUGACAGUACCUGCAGAAUAAGCACCAGCUAACUACGUGCAGCAGCCGCGGUAAUACGUAGUGCAAGCGUUAAUCGGAAUUACUGGGCGUAAAGCGUGCGCAGGCGGUUCGGAAAGAAAGAUCUUAAAAAUCCCAGAGCAACUUUGGAACUGCAUUUUUUAACUACCGAGCUAGAGUGUGUCAGAGGGAGGUGAAUUCCGCAUGUGAUGAAAUGCGUAGAUAUGCAGGAGGAGCACCGAUAAGCGAAGGCACAUCUCAAGGAUGUACCGCGACGCUCAUGCACAGCGUGGGAGCAAAGAGCAAAGUUAGAUACCACAGUGAGUCCGCCUAAACGAUGUCAACUAGCUAUUUGGGGCCUUCGGGCCUUGGUAGCGCAGCUAACGCGUGAAAGUUGACCGCCGGAAGUACGGUCGCAAGAUUAAACUCAAAGGAAUUAGUAGGGACCCGCACUAAGCAGUGGAUGAUGGUUAAUUCGAUGCAACACUUGAAAAGGCAACACCUACCCGCGACAUGUCUGAUCCCGAAGAGAUUUGGGAGUGCUCGCAAGAGAACCGGAACACAGGUGCUGCAUGGCUGCAAUAAGUGGCUCGUGUCGUGAGAUGUUGGUUAAGUCCCGCAACGAGCGCAACCCUUGUCAUUGGUGCUACGAAGGGCACUCAAUAGACUGCCGGUGACAAAACGGAGGAAGGUGGGGAUGACGUCAAGUCCUCAUGGCCCUUGUAUGGGUAGGGGCUUCACGUCAUACAACGGUCGGGACAGAGGGUCUCCUUGCGAGGAAUAAUCCCGAGGAAGCGAUCGUAGUCCGGAUCGCAGUCACCUUCGGCGUGAAGUCGGAAUCGCUAGUAAUCGCGGAUCAUCAUGGUGAACUACGUUCCCGGGUCUUGUACACCGUCACCUGUAGGGUGGGUUUUACCCAGAAGUAGUUAGCUUCAACAGCGGGAGGCGAUUCUACGGUAGGAUUCGCAGCUGGGGUGAAGUCGUAACAAGGUAA
rnacentral:rRNA from 1 species